UAGUUCUAAGCUAUUAGUAUUUCACUUACACUGAAAAGAUUUCAUUUACCUC
rnacentral:tRNA from 1 species